AUUGAACGCUGGCGGCAGGCCUAGCACAUGCAAGUCGAGCGGAUGAAGGGAGCUUGCUCCUGGAUUCAGCGGCGGACGGGUGAGUAAUGCCUAGGAAUCUGCCUGGUAGUGGGGGAUAACGUCCGGAAACGGGCGCUAAUACCGCAUACGUCCUGAGGGUGAAAGUGGGGGAUCUUCGGACCUCACGCUAUCAGAUGAGCCUAGGUCGGAUUAGCUAGUUGGUGGGGUAAAGGCCUACCAAGGCGACGAUCCGUAACUGGUCUGAGAGGAUGAUCAGUCACACUGGAACUGAGACACGGUCCAGACUCCUACGGGAGGCAGCAGUGGGGAAUAUUGGACAAUGGGCGAAAGCCUGAUCCAGCCAUGCCGCGUGUGUGAAGAAGGUCUUCGGAUUGUAAAGCACUUUAAGUUGGGAGGAAGGGCAGUAAGUUAAUACCUUGCUGUUUUGACGUUACCAACAGAAUAAGCACCGGCUAACUUCGUG
rnacentral:rRNA from 1 species